rnacentral:tRNA from 1 species
CAGAAGGUAGUUUAGGUAGAAUUUUGGUUCUGGGUACCAAUGGCGAGGAUGUUUAUCCUCUCUUCUGA